rnacentral:rRNA from 1 species
UGGGGAAUUUUGGACAAUGGGCGAAAGCCUGAUCCAGCAAUGCCGCGUGUGUGAAGAAGGCCUUCGGGUUGUAAAGCACUUUUGUCCGGAAAGAAAUCCUUGGCUCUAAUACAGUCGGGGGAUGACGGUACCGGAAGAAUAAGCACCGGCUAACUACGUGCCAGCAGCCGCGGUAAUACGUAGGGUGCAAGCGUUAAUCGGAAUUACUGGGCGUAAAGCGUGCGCAGGCGGUUUGCUAAGACCGAUGUGAAAUCCCGGGCUCAACCUGGGAACUGCAUUGGUGACUGGCAGGCUAGAGUAUGGCAGAGGGGGGUAGAAUUCCACGUGUAGCAGUGAAAUGCGUAGAGAUGUGGAGGAAUACCGAUGGCGAAGGCAGCCCCCUGGGCAAGUACUGACGCUCAUGCACGAAAGCGUGGGGAGCAAACAGGAUUAGAUACCCUGGUAGUCCACGCCCUAAACGAUGUCAACUAGUUGUUGGGGAUUCAUUUCCUUAGUAACGUAGCUAACGCGUGAAGUUGACCGCCU